GUGUCAUAAUAAUACAUAGGUUAGCACUCUCUUUGAGAAGGAUGGAAGAGGUCCUAGUGGCCUUUACAACACAUAUAUGGUUAAAGCAUUGCCACCUACUUCGUGGCAUCUAACUAAAUUUUUUU
rnacentral:ncRNA from 2 species